CACCAGACUCCUACGGGAGGCAGCAGUGGGGAAUAUUGCACAAUGGGGGAAACCCUGAUGCAGCGACGCCGCGUGAGCGAUGAAGUAUUUCGGUAUGUAAAGCUCUAUCAGCAGGGAAGAAAAUGACGGUACCUGACUAAGAAGCCCCGGCUAACUACGUGCCAGCAGCCGCGGUAAUACGUAGGGGGCAAGCGUUAUCCGGAUUUACUGGAUGUAAAGGGAGCGUAGACGGUCCUGCAAGCCAGAUGUGAAAGCCCGGGGCCCAACCCCGGAACUGCUCUGGAAACUGUGCGGCUAGAGUACUGGAGGGGCAGGCGGAAUUCCUAGUGUAGCGGUGAAAUGCGUAGAUAUUAGGAGGAACACCAGUGGCGAAGGCGGCCUGCUGGACAGUAACUGACGUUGAGGCUCGAAAGCGUGGGGAGCAAACAGGAUUAGAUACCCCCGUAC
rnacentral:rRNA from 1 species